UUUGUUUAUUGUGUUUCAAAUGUACGUCAGUCCAUUAUUUACGUUUUGCCAUUUAAAUACUUACAACCAUAUAUUUAAACAUACGAAAGAAUAUGCUCUGAAGCGCCUCGUGGACUUUGGUCAUAUAUAAACACGUGUUCCCGCUAAAUUUUCAUUCCACGAGUAUUUUUCAACAAGAUUACACAAGGAUAGGACCAGAGCGUUAAUAAGAUAAGUUGAUUUAGUUUAUUCAUUAUACUUUAAAUACGUUUACUUUUAUGCAUUUUAAUUCACUUUAAUAAUUUGGUUUACAUUUAAAGAGCAAACUUUUUACCUGUAACGAUAAAGUAAAACAGGUAACUUUAAAUUUAACACGUGUUUGCACGGGGUCGUAAUUUUGUUUCCCUUUACUUUCACAAUUAAAUACAUGAAUUGUUUUUUGUCAAUUCAAUAUUACAUUUAAAUAUAUGCUUAUUUAUUACCGUUUAAUUUCAUUGACUUCUGGUUGUUGCAUUUAAUUCACAGUUCUUAAACAUGGUAUUUUUAUCGGAGAAGGAAUGAAUAUCGUCGGAGAUUACGGCCCAGGGUAAACGACGUUAGGGUUCAACAACCUGCUCAUGAAGAACCUGCACCCGAAGAGGAACCCGUCCCUGAGGAAGUUGUCCAAGUGGUCAACAGAGGUAGACGUGGAAAUAGAAGGCGUGUUGCGCCAGAGCAUCAGCAAGCAGAUCAACCUGUGGAGCCCAAUAAUCAGCCUCCACCUCAGAAACAGCUGAAAACUACAGCAGUUCAGGCUGGACCGGGCAUUUUUGUGGUUUGGAUUAUUGGAUCUUCCUUGGUUGCCAAAGCCUCAUCACAUAGUCAAAUAAGACCUUUGGGAAAUGAUUUGGGGUUGCAUAAGUUAGGCUACAAGUUGAUGUGGGCAGGAAUGUCCGGUAUGUCAGUAUAUAACGUUGUACCAAUAGUAGAGAAUUUGAUACAUUGUUGCGGUUUACCAGAUGCUGUUUUGCUUCACUGUGGUGGCAAUGAUAUUGGACUUGUUAACUGUGCCAAACUUUUAUUUGAUAUUAAAUUUAUGCUAGAUAUAGUUGCACGUAUGGUGAAUGGAGGUAAAAUUAUUUUUUCAAGCAUUUUACCAAGGUUGAAAUGGAGAUAUUCAAAAGAUUUGAAAGCAAUGGAUGCAACCAGGAAACGUUUAAAUAGGGGGGUUAAAUCACAUUUAAAUAAAACUGGGGGUUACACUAUAACUCAUUCUGAUUUUGAAGACAAACAUCAAUCUUUAUUUAGUCAUGAUGGCGUCCAUUUGUCGUUUAUUGGCAAUGAUAUAUUUUUGAAUUCAUUUCAAACUGCUUUAGAACAAUUUUACUAUAUACCAAAUAAUUCUGUUUAUCCGAUGCAUGAAUGAUGUUGUUUGUUUAUUUUUGUUGUAUGUUGAAAAGAAUAACAACUAGUUGAUUAUAUUUUCAUUGAAUUUAUGCUGCUUAUUAAAUUGUCAUGGCGGAUUAGCAUUUGAUUGAGAGUUCACUAAAAUGCCAAUUUUGGCAGUGAUUUAUUCAAAUAUCGUUCAUUAAGCUGUUAUGGAUCUGCCCAGCAGCUAGAAAUUGUUAUGCAUUUACUGUUGGUUUCCCUUCAGUGACCAAUUGUCAUCAAGUUUUAACUUGUUGGCCAGUUUGUUGAUGUUGGUUGUUUGUUGGUUUAUAUUGUUGAAUAUUGUUGAAUAAAUGCCAUGACAAAUAAUCAGCCAAAUUUCAAAUUUCAAUUGUUUGUUUGUUGUUUAUAUUAUUCUUGCGAAGGAAUGAAACAAAACAAAUCUGCAGUUGUAUAUUCAUUGCACACAUUGAAUAUGCAAUAAUAAAAUUUAAUGAUCUAAUAAUUAAAUUGAUUUAUUGCAUUAACAAUACAUUUAUUUGUUUAUUGUGUUUCAAAUGUACGUCAGUCCAUUAUUUACGUUUUGCCAUUUAAAUACUUACAACCAUAUAUUUAAACAUACGAAAGAAUAUGCUUUGAAGCGCCUCGUGGACUUUGGUCAUAUAUAAACACGUGUUCCCGCUAAAUUUUCAUUCCACGAGUAUUUUUCAACAAGAUUACACAACCCACCCUCCCUCCCUUUAACGAACAAAAUUGCUGCUGUUUUUUAGUUUAUUUUUCAGAUUACAUGGUGAACAGAUCCAAAUGUAUUGAAUGUUCCAAUUAGAUUGUCAUGUAUCAUCAAAAUUGUCAGACGUUUCAAUAUUCAUCGGCAGAUCCAAUGAAACCUGAAUAUUCAAGGAAUUUGCAGGAAUAAUUAAAAAGAGAAUAUCUAUCGUCAUGGCAUUCCGUUCAAUAUGGAAAGUGCGUUGGAUGUCAUCAUCAACAAGAUUCAACUGGCAGUGAUUUAUUCAAAUAUCGUUCAUUAAGCUGUUAUGGAUCUGCCCAGCAGCUAGAAAUUGUUAUGCAUUUACUGUUGGUUUCCCUUCAGUGACCAAUUGUCAUCAAGUUUUAACUUGUUGGCCAGUUUGUUGAUGUUGGUUGUUUGUUGGUUUAUAUUGUUGAAUAUUGUUGAAUAAAUGCCAUGACAAAUAAUCAGCCAAAUUUCAAAUUUCAA